rnacentral:rRNA from 1 species
ACUAGUAAUCGCAGAUCAGAAUGCUGCGGUGAAUGCGUUCCCGGGUCUUGUACACACCGCCCGUCACACCACGGAAGUUGGGGGCGCCCGAAGCCACUUAUCUAACCCUUUUGGGAAGCGAGCGUCGAAGGUGAAAUCAAUAACUGGGGUGAAGUCGUAACAAGGUAUC